GACAGAGGGUGCAAACGUUGUUCGGAAUUACUGGGCGUAAAGCGCACGUAGGCGGUUUGUUAAGUGAGAGGUGAAAUCCCAGAGCUCAACUCUGGAACUGCCUUUCAUACUGGCAAGCUAGAGUCCGGAAGAGGUAAGUGGAACUCCUAGUGUAGAGGUGGAAUUCGUAGAUAUUAGGAAGAACACCAGUGGCGAAGGCGGCUUACUGGUCCGGAACUGACGCUGAGGUGCGAAAGCGUGGGGAGCAAACAGG
rnacentral:rRNA from 1 species